rnacentral:snoRNA from 1 species
CAUGUUUUCUAACCAACCUGCCAUUGAAGCUCCUUAUUGGCUAAACACACCUGAUCCAGGUAAUAAACAGCAGAUGAGGCAGGAUUUCUGAAAAACCAGCAGGAGGUCGGGCCUCCAGGCCUGGAGUUUGACACCCCUGCACUAUAU